rnacentral:rRNA from 14 species
AAUCUCCGUGAAGAUGCGGAGUACCUGCGGCUAGACGGAAAGACCCCGUGCACCUUUACUAUAGUUAUGUAUUGUAAUAAAUAUUUUUAUGUAUAGAAUAUGUGGGAAGUUGUUAUAAUUUUUUUACGCCAGUAAAUUGAAAAUAACUUAAGUGAAAUACCACUCUUAAAAUUUUUUGUUACUAAUUAUUACAAGACAUUGCAUAAUGGGUAGUUUGACUGGGGCGGUCGCCUCCUAAAAAGUAACGGAGGCGUACAAAGGUAAGUUCAAAUUGAAAAUAUCAAUUGUAGAGCGUAAUAGUAUAUUGCUUGCCUGACUGUAAGAUUGACAAAUCAAACAGGGACGAAAGUCGGUUAUAGUGAUCCGGUGAUUCUGUGUGGAAAAGAUCACCGCUCAACGGAUAAAAGGUACGCCGGGGAUAACAGGCUAAUCACCCCUUAGAGACCCUAUCGACGGGGUGGCUUGGCACCUCGAUGUUGGAUUAUCGCAUCCUGGAAUUGAAGAAGAUUCCAAGGGUUUGGCUGUUCGCCAAGAAAAGCGGUACAUGAUCUGAGUUUAGAACGUCGUGAGACAGUUUGGUCCCUAUCUACCGUAGGCGGAAGAAAACUGAAAGGAGUAAACCCUAGUACGAGAGGACCGGGAAAAGUAAAUCAAUGGUGGAUCGGUUGUUGUACCAACGGCAUAGCCGAAUAGCUACAUUUAUAAUAGAUAAUUGCUGAAAGCAUCUAAGCAAGAAACUAGCCUUAAGAUAAGUUUUCUAAAAGAUGUAAUAGAUUAUUACUUUGAUAGGUUUUGUGUGUAAGAAUUGUAAAAUUUUUAGCUAA